rnacentral:tRNA from 1 species
GGUUGUGGCUCCGUGGUAGAGUGCUUGCCUAGCAUACGUGAGGCCCUGGGUUCAAUCCUCAGAACUA